rnacentral:rRNA from 1 species
AAUAGAUACCCGGGUAGUCCACGCCCUAAACGAUGUCUACUAGUUGUCGGGUCUUAAUUGACUUGGUAACGCAGCUAACGCGUGAAGUAGACCGCCUGGGGAGUACGGUCGCAAGAUUAAAACUCAAAGGAAUUGACGGGGACCCGCACAAGCGGUGGAUGAUGUGGAUUAAUUCGAUGCAACGCGAAAAACCUUACCUACCCUUGACAUGUACGGAACCCUGCUGAAAGGUGGGGGUGCUCGAAAGAGAGCCGUAACACAGGUGCUGCAUGGCUGUCGUCAGCUCGUGUCGUGAGAUGUUGGGUUAAGUCCCGCAACGAGCGCAACCCUUGUCAUUAGUUGCUACGAAAGGGCACUCUAAUGAGACUGCCGGUGACAAACCGGAGGAAGGUGGGGAUGACGUCAAGUCCUCAUGGCCCUUAUGGGUAGGGCUUCACACGUCAUACAAUGGUACAUACAGAGGGCUGCCAACCCGCGAGGGGGAGCUAAUCCCAGAAAGUGUAUCGUAGUCCGGAUUGUAGUCUGCAACUCGACUACA